GUGUCGUGAGAUGUUGUCUUAAGUGACGCAACGAGCGCAACCCUUACUACUAGUUGCCCUUAUUAAGUUAGGCACUCUAGUGGGGGGGGGGGGGUGUUAAGCCAGAGGAAGGUGGGGAUGACGUCAAGUCCUCAUGGCCCUUAUGAGCAGGGCUUAAAAAANAAAAAACAAUGGUAGGUACAGACGGUUGCUAAGCCGCGAGGUGGAGCUAAUCCGAGAAAGCCUAUCGUAGUCCGGAUUGUAGUCUGCAACUCGACUACAUGAAGUCGGAAUCGCUAGUAAUCGCAGAUCAGCAUGCUGCGGUGAAUACGUUCCCGGGUCUUGUACACACCGCCCGUCACACCAUGGGAGUGGAGGAUACCAGAAGUUGUUAGGCUAACCGGACAGCAAUGUCAGAGGGGGNCGNCNCCNCAAUAUGUUUCAUGACUGGGGUGAAGUNGUNANNNNAUAACCG
rnacentral:rRNA from 1 species